rnacentral:lncRNA from 1 species
AGGGAGGAAUAUAUACAUAAUACUUAUGGCUAUCUUAGAAAGCACCCUUUUAACCUUGCAUGAGUUACUAGACCUAGGAUUGUAUCUUUACUUCAAGUGAAUGCUGUCUAAAUGAAUUGUCAGUCCCCUGACAGUCUUGAGUGUCCCCUCAGUCACACUUACCCGAAUCCAGUGUCUGCCUUUAAUGGGGUGUUCCUGGGUUCCCAUCCCUUGUCUAAACACACAUUUUUCAGCAGUGGCUCCAUCUUGGUCACAGUCAACCAGAAGGUGAUUAGCCCGCAGCUAGAGAGCAGCCGCCUGGGGGUUGGGUGGAAGAAGAGGCUGCAUCAGGGUGGGACAGAGGGUGACCAUAACGAAUAGACGGAUGACCUCUCUGUGUUCCAUGUUAGCCGUUUCGUGAUGGUGGUCUUCGUCUGCCUAAGGCACGUGCUCUCAGGGACAUCCACAGGGGCCAUUUAGCAUAUGAGAAUCAGUCAGUGAGUACCCUGUUCGGAACUUUUGUCUCUUUGAGUGUAGUGAUUACGAAGGUCAUGGCCACUGGUGAAUGAAAUGAAAUCCAUGAGGGAAAAGGCAGUCAGAUUGUGAAACUGGGCCCAGGGUUGGCUGCCUAAGUGCACAGGCAGGCUAGAGACCAGACUUUAGGAAGCUGGCCUCGAUUCCUGGCUACUCCUUGCCAUGUGAGGCCUCUGUCUGAGUUAAUAGCCUAUUACGGUGUUGCUUGUCCAUAUCAAUCGAUUUCAUCAUCCAGUAGUGGCAUGUGAUCGACAGGCACAGCCAAGCUAAGGCUUUGGAUUUUUUCACACCUGGCUGCGCAGUUUGUGGGGGCAAGGUGUGUGUGUGCAGACCUGUGGGCCUGAACCUUAACAGCCUUUUCUCUUUCCAACUGGACACUCCACUCAGAUAGUACUUUUUUUUUUUCCAUUUUUUAUUAGGUAUUUAACUCAUUUACAUUUCCAAUGCUAUACCAAAAGUCCCCCAUAUCCACCCACCCCCACUCCCCUGCCCACCCACUCCCCCUUUUUGGCUCUGGUGUUCCCCUGUACUGGGGCAUAUAAAGUUUGCAAGUCCAAUGGGCCUCUCUUUCCAGUGAUGGCCGACUAGGCCAUCUUUUGAUAUAUAUGCAGCUAGAGUCAAGAGCUCCGGGGUACUGGUUAGUUCAUAAUGUUGUUCCACCUAUAGGGUUGCAGAUCCCUUUAGCUCCUUGGCUACUUUCUCUAGCUUCUCCAUUGGGAGCCCUAUGAUCCAUCCAUUAGCUGACUGUGAGCAUCCACUUCUGUGUUUGCUAGGCCCCGGCAUAGUCUCACAAGAGACAGCUACAUCUGGGUCCUUUCAAUAAAAUCUUGCUAGUGUAUGCAAUGCAGAUAGUACUUUUGAUAAUGCACACAGGGUGGCCUGUGUGUCCAACGUGAGGAGACACAGGCCUUGUAUGCCCUGCAAGCCUUUUGCCAUCACAAAAGGGUGUGCGGGACUGGCAGCAUGCCUUCAUGGAAGCAUGAAGAAGAGCAGGGGGUGGCCUGCCACAGGUGAGAAGAGGCCCAGAGGAUGGCUGCCUGCAUGGCUGGUGCUGGCACUCCUUGCAGAAGCUAUUCCUGGCUUCCCUUUAGUCUCUUCCCUGCUGCUGUUUGUGGUCUGAAAGUUGGCCAACAAAGGGGAGGCUGCUGAGCUGAGCUGAGCUGAGAAGCAGAGGCCCAGGCGACCUAACACUGCCAGGGACUCUUAGGUAACUCACAUUGGGUCAAAGAGAAGAGCUGGGUUCCUCUCUCUGUAAAAGACAAAUAGGAUCCGUCUCAUGUUGGAAACGGAAGUUAUUGUUAUGGCGUUGACCGACAACCAUCCCUGCGACCAAGGCAGACCCUGUGCUGUUUAAGUAUGUGCUAUCACUUAUUAUGGGAUACAGUGGUUCCCAAUUUGAAAGGGGGGGAGGGGAGGAUGAUAGCCUAGUGAGGUGGCACAUGCUUAUCAGUCCAGCACUUGGGAAACUGAGGCCGGAGGAUUACCAUGAGUUCCAUGCUAAUUUAGGCUACCCAACGAGACCCUCUCACACAAACGCAAAACAAACAACAAGGAAAAGAUAAGGAGCAUAGGUAGGAAGCGUGGUUUGGUAGUAGAAUACUUGCGAGCAUGCACAAGGCCCUAGGGGGCCCACCCCUCACUCUAAGCUUGCCCAUGUACAUGGUACCCUCGCUGGGGAUUCUCUGACUUUUCUUCCAGCUCAUUACUCAGCAGAUACCUCCUGAAAGCUGAGAAGACACAACUGCUCCGAUUCAAAUAAUGGCCAUCGCGCCAGGAGGGAGUGCCAAGGAGUUAAUUAAAGCAAACAGAACAUCUGGCAGGUUUCCUAGGGCAAGAAAAAUAGUUUUCUUUUCCCCUCAUGCUCCUGAUAACACCCCGCAAAGCAUGGCCAUUUCUUUUGUGUCACGCCAAGUUUGUCGUUUGACAGACACCUGCUGAGUUUCCACUGUGACCCAGGAUACCGAUUAGACGCCAGAGAUGGGGCAGGGUGGACAUGUCUUUGGGGCGGGGUUGCGUUGGGAAAAUAAGGCGCUGCACACACAGAAGAGGGGGCCCCAGACUUAUUUCUAUGGUGUUCACGUAAGGUGCCACUUAAUAUAUACCAGUUACAAGUUAAGAGUGUCUGCCUAAAAGAGAAAACCCAAGCGAGCAGGAAGUCAUGGUGACAUUUGCCCAUUGUCUGCUGGUUCUCAGAGAGCGGGGAAGGGAGCCAAGGGGAGGCGGGACUAGUGUGGGCAGCCUCCUCCUGGUCUCUUGUCACCUGUGACACUCCCUCCAGCCAGCAUGCUGCCAGCCCUCACAUUUCUCAUUGAUAGCAAGUAGGUGGAAUUUCUAUGAUGUCCCAUGGAUACAUUAGGCAUUUGGCUCUCUAUAUACCUUUCCAUUUCACCAUCUCUAAGGUAUGGCGUUCAUUGACACUGUUCCAGAAGGCUGCCAUAACUCCAGCUGUCACAUAUUCAUUCUAAGAGAAAGGCAAGGAAGGCGUUCUUGUUUGUUUAUUGUGUACACGUGUUUGCGCACAUGCCCCUGGCAGCACUAGUUCCAGCACGCAUAGGUAUGGCAGCCAGAGAGAGAUGUCAGCAUCUCUGCCUAGUGCACACAUCUUAUUUUUCAAGUCUGGGUCUCCUGCUGAGCCUGGAACUUACCAUGCUCUCUCCUGUCUGGCUAGUGAGCUCCAGGAGCCCUCUUGUUUCUGCUGCCCGAUUCUAGGAUUACAAGUGCCACGACCCUGCCCAGCUCUCUACAUGGGCGCUCGGGGUCCAAACUCAGGGCCUCCUGCAUGCAUUCCCACUUCUUCCAGCCAGAGUUGUCCUUGGGGAUGGGGAUAUAGCUCAGUUGGGGAAGGGCUGUGGUGGGGUAAUGAACCCUAGGCUGUAUGACUGCCAGGAACUCAUACACUGGGUGUGGUACUGGUGAUACCCGUAGAGGGGAGGUAGAGGCAGGAAGAUUGGGAGUUUUGUGAUUAAGGCUUUUGGAAGCUAUGGAAGUUUGAGGCCAGCUGGGAUUGCAUGCUACAUCACAUCAAAAAACAAUAAGAAAAAAAGAUGGCAGCAGCAAUGACAAAACAAACAAACAAACAAGGGGCUGUAAGAUGGCCUAGCACAUGGAAGCCCUUGCUGCAUAAAGUCAAGUUCAGGCUCUGGAGCCCAGAGUCUAGGCCUCUCUAACCACUAAGCUAUCUACCAGCAGUGAUUGGUGUGAAAGCCACCUAUACCCCUUAGCUUGUAAUCCCACUUCUAAAAUGUUGUACGAAAUGUUCGUGUGCAGAGACAUGUUGAGCAUGUUAGGUGCAGUGUCUGAGUGGCCCCUGUUGGUCUGGGUCAUACUGCUCACCCAGGAGCUGGGAAAGGGCACUCUAGUUUCCAGACCCACUAGCAGCUCAGCAGUGAGCCAGACUACCCAGAAACAAAAUCGGUACUGCAGUUUUGGACAUUGUCCUUGUAUUUCAGCAAAGGGAGGAAUCCUCCUUGUCGGGCAGUCGCCCUGUGCCUUGCCGUGCCAAGGUGAGAAGCCUAUAGUUUCACUUCAGUGAGAGAGUAUUGGCCUAGUAUCUGUUGAGUGAUGGUGUUUGGUUCCCCAUACCAUGGG